GGUCAGUUAGUUCAGCGGUAGAAUGUCCCCUUGACAUGGGGAAGGUCGCAGGUUCGAUCCCUGCACUGACCACCA
rnacentral:tRNA from 1 species